GGGAAAGGUAAGGUACUGACUACAUUACAGGGUAGUGAUUAUCAAUAGAUGGGGAAAGGUACUGACUACAUUACAGGGUAGUGAUCAAUAGAUGGGGAAAAGUACUGACUACAUUACAGGGUAGUGAUCAGUAGACGGGGAAAGGUACUGACUACAUUACAGGGUAGUGAUCAAUAGAUGGGGAAAGGUAAGGUGCUGACUACAUUACAGGGUAGUGAUCAAUAGACGGGGAAAGGUACUGACUA